rnacentral:rRNA from 1 species
UACGUAGGGCGCAAGCGUUGUCCGGAAUUAUUGGGCGUAAAGAGCUCGUAGGCGGUUUGUCGCGUCUGCUGUGAAAACCCGAGGCUCAACCUCGGGCCUGCAGUGGGUACGGGCAGACUAGAGUGUGGUAGGGGAGACUGGAAUUCCUGGUGUAGCGGUGGAAUGCGCAGAUAUCAGGAGGAACACCAAUGGCGAAGGCAGGUCUCUGGGCCACUACUGACGCUGAGAAGCGAAAGCAUGGGGAGCGAACAGG